rnacentral:piRNA from 1 species
UGGCAUGCAGGUUUCAUGUGGAUGUCA